rnacentral:rRNA from 1 species
AGAAGGCUAUGUUAGCCGGGCGACGGUUGUCCCGGUUUAAGCAUGUAGGCUGGUUGUCCAGGCAAAUCCGGAUAAUCAAGGCUGAGGUGUGAUGACGAGGCACUACGGUGCUGAAGUAACAAAUGCCCUGCUUCCAGGAAAAGCCUCUAAGCAUCAGGUAACAUUAAAUCGUACCCCAAACCGACACAGGUGGUCAGGUAGAGAAUACCAAGGCGCUUGA